ACUUCAUGAUGAGGACAUGACCUUAACAGUUCCUUAAAACGUUCAAAUACUUCAUGAAAAAGUUCAUUAGGCAGUUGCCUAAAAGAUUUUAUUUGAUUUCUAACAUC